GAAAGUGGCGCACGGGUGCGUAACGCGUAUGCAACCUACCCUAUACAGGGGGAUAGCCCGGAGAAAUCUGGAUUAAUACCCCAUGGCACUAUGAUGAGGCAUUUUGUUAUAGUUAAAGAUUUAUCGGUAUAGGAUGGGCAUGCGUCUGAUUAGCUAGUUGGAGGUGUAACGGACCACCAAGGCGACGAUCAGUAGGGGUUCUGAGAGGAAGGUCCCCCACACUGGCACUGAGAUACGGGCCAGACUCCUACGGGAGGCAGCAGUAGGGAAUAUUGGGCAAUGGACGAGAGUCUGACCCAGCCAUGCCGCGUGCAGGAAGACGGCGUUCUGCGUUGUAAACUGCUUUUAUCUGGGAAGAAAAGGCCCAUGCGUGGGACAUUGCCGGUACCAGAUGAAUAAGCACCGGCUAACUCCGUGCCAGCAGCCGCGGUAAUACGGAGGGUGCAAGCGUUGUCCGGAUUUAUUGGGUUUAAAGGGUGCGUAGGCGGCUAUUUAAGUCAGUGGUGAAAGACUCCGGCUCAACCGGGGCAGUGCCAUUGAUACUGGAUAGCUUGAGUAUUGGAGGGGUACAUGGAAUUGAUGGUGUAGCGGUGAAAUGCAUAGAUACCAUCAGGAACACCGAUAGCGAAGGCAUUGUACUGGCCAGUAACUGACGCUGAUGCACGAAAGCAUGGGGAGCGAACAGGAUUAGAUACCCUGGUAGUCCAUGCCGUAAACGAUGAUUACUCGCUGUUAUGCCCUUGUGGUGUAGCGGCCAAGCGAAAGCGUUAAGUAAUCCACCUGG
rnacentral:rRNA from 1 species